GCUUUGAGUUGGUCCAGAGGUAUGACUCUCGCUUUGGGUAUGAGAGGUCUCGGGUUCACAUCCCGGACGACCC
rnacentral:tRNA from 1 species